UACUGGACCUUGGAGGCCAACAGGAC
rnacentral:piRNA from 1 species